rnacentral:tRNA from 1 species
GGGCAGGUAGCUCAGUUGGUAGAGCAAUGGACUGAAAAUCCAUGUGUCGCCGGUUCGAUCCCGGCUCUGCCCA